UGGCCUCGGAUUAUACUAUCCCAAC
rnacentral:piRNA from 1 species